UACGUAGGGGGCAAGCGUUGUCCGGAAUCAUUGGGCGUAAAGGGCGCGUAGGCGGGCAUAUAAGUCUGAUGUGAAAGUGCGGAGCUUAACUCCGUAAAGCAUUGGAAACUGUGUGUCUUGAGGACAGGAGAGGAAAGUGGAAUUCCUAGUGUAGCGGUGAAAUGCGUAGAUAUUAGGAGGAACACCAGUGGCGAAGGCGACUUUCUGGACUGUAACUGACGCUGAGGCGCGAAAGCGUGGGGAGCGAACA
rnacentral:rRNA from 2 species